rnacentral:lncRNA from 1 species
AUUUGACAAUUGACAGAUUAUCUUUUAAAUAAAUAAAUAAAUGUAAAUAGUUAUCCUAACUGAAAACAAAGUCGGGAGCAAAGGAUUAAUGGAUAUGUAAAAGCCAUAAGGAGAACAGAACUAAAAUUAAAAUAUGAAAGAAUAUGCAAUAAACAUUGUAUAAAAGUGGAAAGCCAGCCACUUUAAAAAGAUAUUCCAAACUAAAACAUGGGUUACCAAAGCAGGCAAUAAAAA